AGAGUUUGAUCAUGGCUCAGAACGAACGCUGGCGGCGUGCUUAACACAUGCAAGUCGAGUGCGCGCCUGUAGCAAUACAGGUGGCGCACGGCGCACGGGUGCGUAACACGUGGGUAAUCUGCCCUCUGAUGGGGAAUAACUCGCCGAAAGGCGAGCUAAUUCCGCAUAAUAUUCCGAGAACUUUGGUUUUUGGAAUGAAAGGCGUAAGUCGUCGGAGGAGGAGCCCGCGCACGAUUAGCUAGUUGGUAGGGUAAUGGCCUACCAAGGCUUUGAUCGUUAGCUGGUCUGAGAGGAUGGCCAGCCACACUGGAACUGAGACACGGUCCAGACUCCUACGGGAGGCAGCAGUGGGGAAUCUUGCACAAUGGGCGAAAGCCUGAUGCAGCGACGCCGCGUGGGGGAUGAAGCUUCUCGGAGUGUAAACCCCUUUCGAUCCGGACGAAACCCCGCAAGGGAUUGACGGUACGGAUAUAAGAAGCCCCGGCUAACUACGUGCCAGCAGCCGCGGUAAUACGUAGGGGGCCAGCGUUGUUCGGAAUUACUGGGUGUAAAGGGUUCGUAGGCGGUGCGGCAAGUUGGGAGUGAAAUCUCUGGGCUUAACCCAGAGACGGCUUCCAAAACUGCUGUGCUUGAGUGUGGGAGAGGCUCGUGGAAUUGCAGGUGUAGCGGUGAAAUGCGUAGAUAUCUGCAGGAACACCCGUGGCGAAAGCGGCGAGCUGGACCACUACUGACGCUGAAGAACGAAAGCUAGGGGAGCAAACAGGAUUAGAUACCCUAGUAGUCC
rnacentral:rRNA from 1 species